rnacentral:rRNA from 1 species
AGCGAACGCUGGCGGCAGGCUUAACACAUGCAAGUCGAGCGGACCUUUCGGGGCCAGCGGCGGACGGGUGAGUAACGCGUGGGAACGUGCCUUCCGGUUCGGAAUAACCCUGGGAAACUAGGGCUAAUACCGGAUACGCCCUUAUGGAGAAAGGUUUACUGCCGGAAGAUCGGCCCGCGUCUGAUUAGCUAGUUGGUGGGGUAACGGCCUACCAAGGCGACGAUCAGUAGCUGGUCUGAGAGGAUGAUCAGCCACACUGGGACUGAGACACGGCCCAGACUCCUACGGGAAGCAGCAGUGGGGAAUAUUGGACAAUGGGCGCAAGCCUGAUCCAGCCAUGCCGCGUGAGUGAUGAAGGCCUUAGGGUUGUAAAGCUCUUUUAUCCGGGACGAUAAUGACGGUACCGGAGGAAUAAGCCCCGGCUAACUUCGUG